AAUAGAGGACUGGAGAAGCUUCUAGAAGGAAUGGAAGGAGCAUUUGCCCAUGACCUGAUCUUAGGAAGCCAGCUGACAGCAUCACGAGUCAGCCUUCCUGCCCGAGAGCCAUGCCACACAGAGAGUACUUGGAGUCGGGGAGCUGUGGAUGGCUGCGCUCCCCUGUAGCUGCAGAAAGAGCAGAAAACACAUUUUGAAAAAUCAGUUUUAAUAAAGCCCCAGCGCUGACCCCAGAAACACCCUGGCCUUUACGUGCCGGAGAGGACAAACUCAUGGAUGCCAGAUGGGGGCAAGGCUUCCUCUUGGACAGACCCUGGGACAUAGGUUCAAAGGUCUUGGGAUGGUCACAAAUAUUUAGGAUACAAUCUAAGCAGCUGGCUAACCUCCCACCCUCCAGAGUUCUGAAAGGAUUUCAACGUCGUCGUUCCAAAGCAGGAGAAGCCUCCUGCCACCUGAAGCUUACUCCAUGUGAAAACCAACCCUGCAGCCCUUGGAAUGUCAUCCUGAGGAAGUCCCUUCAAAGUUGUGGAAGUGACAGUCAGCAAAUCUGAGUUCUUUCUCACUGUAUGCCUUCAUUAUGCGGUAGCUACUGCUCCUGAGUAGAGAAACUCCUGCUUGUGUUUCUCUAUGGAGGAAACUUACUGCACCCCCUCUCCCACCCCUGAAGGCUUCUCUACACUAAACCAAUAGAUACAUCCAAUCUCUUUCUCCCCACCUCCUCAAUGUUCCCCCUGCCCUGAACACUAGGGAAGGCUUCUCUACACUAAGCCAAUAGAUACAUCCCAUAUCUUUCUCCACACCUCCUUGGACCUCAUUAGAACAACAGAAACCAUCUCAAGCUGAGGCACCGUGGGAAUAGCUUUGCAAAAUUCAUGGUCCAGGGGAGCAGGAGGAGUAUCAAACAUGAUGGAGUAGUGUAGGGGGAAAAGGCAGGCCUCAUUGACAAGGUGGUGACUGCUUCCCAAUAAACGUGAGGGGGAGGGGUACAGCCACAGAGGCAACUUCUACAAGAGGACCAAUUGAAGCCUGCCGGAGAGCCUAGAGCUUGGUGAUGCAGGCAAUGACAGCCAAUCGGGAACUGCCACUUGGAGACCAUGCUUGCUUGGGACCAAUGGGAUGUUGGGGGGAGGCUAUAAAGGGCACUCCCCAAGAAUUAAUAAAAGAGCUUGCUCCCACAAUCUCACCUGCUCCCCAGAG
rnacentral:sRNA from 1 species